rnacentral:rRNA from 1 species
GAUGAACGCUGGCGGCGUGCUUAACACAUGCCAGUCGAGCGAUGAAGCCCAGCUUGCUGGGUGGAUUAGUGGCGAACGGGUGAGUAACACGUGAGUAACCUGCCCUUGACUCUGGGAUAAGCCUGGGAAACUGGGUCUAAUACUGGAUAUGACUUCUCAUCGCAUGGUGGGGGGUGGAAAGAUUUAUUGGUCUUGGAUGGACUCGCGGCCUAUCAGCUUGUUGGUGAGGUAAUGGCUCACCAAGGCGACGACGGGUAGCCGGCCUGAGAGGGUGACCGGCCACACUGGGACUGAGACACGGCCCAGACUCCUACGGGAGGCAGCAGUGGGGAAUAUUGCACAAUGGGCGCAAGCCUGAUGCAGCGACGCCGCGUGAGGGAUGACGGCCUUCGGGUUGUAAACCUCUUUCAGUAGGGAAGAAGCGAGAGUGACGGUACCUGCAGAAGAAGCGCCGGCUAACUACGUG